UAAGGAGGAGGAAGUUCCACCAUUGAUAUCAACUGACCAAACUGAGGAUCUGUUGGGUUUAAAUGAAAUAAAUCCUAAAGUUGCCGACCUAGAAGAAAGUGAUGCAUUGGUGCUUGCCAUAGUUCCACCUGGUUUGAAGCAAUGUGGUAAGAGUUGCAAGCUUAGGUGGUUGAAUUAGCUUAGACCAGACAUCAAAAGAGGUAACAUAUCUCUACUACAACAAAAAAACAUUUUUAAUAACAGUUUUUAAUAGCAUUUUUCUUAAAAUGUUAUUAAAUAUAAUGCAUUUAGUAUCAGAUAACCUGAGUGUUUUUUUCCAAUGAAUUCAUAUUUUAUUGGCAACAAGGUUAGUUGCUCCAGCUAUUGCCACGAGUUUAGGUGCCUUAGCACAUACAUUGGGUACCCUCGUCCCUGUGAUAGGAACAAGUGGGUUUGCUACAGCUGCAAUUGCUAUAGGAAUUGUUGCCAGUAGUUUUAGAUAUGUUUAGAAACUUAGAUAUGCAUAGUUUGGAUGGUUUAAACUUUUUGGACAGUUUAGAACUUAAGGAUAUAGUUUUCGAAUGUUUAGAAUAUAUAAACAAUUGUUGAAUGUUUAUAAUUUAUGGAUGUAGUUUCUUUUUGAUGUUUCAAACAAUAUUUUGGUGGUUGAUUGAUAUUUUGUGAUGCUUGUUUGUAAUGUUCGUUAGAUUGUACAGAAUUGGUCAAAUAGAACCUACUAAAUUAAAAAAAAAAAAAAAUAAAAAAACUGCAUAUUCUACGACAGGUAUAAUAAGUCGUCGUAUUACAUGUUUUAUGACUAGCAAGGAAAGUUAUGAUUUGUUCCAAGAAUUAACGGUGUGAAAAAGUAGUUGUAGAAAAAAUCAAAUAUAACACACCAGAUCCGCUAUUAAAGCGUUUUUAAUGGCGUGCAAAAAUAGUUGUAGAAAAAUCAAACACAACUCACAAGAUCCGCUAUUAAAGGGCUUUUGCGGCGUACUACGACAUGCCGUUGAAAGUGAAUGACUUUCAAUGGCUGGUAAUAAUAUGACGUUAUCGUAUCCACGACGUGCAUUUGGUAUCGUAAAAAUCUUUUUUUGUUGUAGUAUACUCCCCUGACAUUUGAAUAUCACUAUAUAAGCCCCUAGUAGUUGAUGGAUUGAAGUGCACAGUUAGCAUUUCCAUAUAAUCUAGUAGCCUGUGCAGUACAUGCGAGCAAUGUGCAAUUGUGCAUAAAUUGAUGAUUUUCCCUCCCAAUUAAAUGACCAAAAUGCCCCUUGAGUUAGAAAUAAAAGCUUACCCAAGAAGAUUGCUUUUUACUCUCUCUUUCCUCAAUAUGUUGAGUUGCAGGCAACUCCACCCAGCAAAAAUGUCCUCUUCAAACAGUAUGGGUGGUGGAGGAGCACAAAUGUUGAGGUUCGUCAACAAAAAAUGUUGUUGUGGGAAAAAAGUGGCCAUUAGUAAGACCUUAUCUUCGUUACCAUGACCAGUCACCCUUCUUCAGUAAAACCUCGUCUUUUUCCUUACCAUGGCCAGCCAACCUUUUUUUCUCCCUCAUAGACCAUCGUAGUUGCUUCCUCUGCCAUCAUUGACUGUCAUCGUCGUCUCCUCUCCAAUCUCCGACUAUUGUUGAGCCUCCUCUCCCAUCUCCAACUAUUGUCGCCGCCCCAGCUUCCAUCCCUGUUGUCUCUUCUUUCAUCCCCAACCAUCAUCAAUUUUAUUUAUUUUUAUUUUUUUCUGGGCUCCAUUGAUGCUUCCUUACUAUAUAUAUACAUAAUUCUAUGAAGACAUAAAAUUUGAAGAAAAACACACCACAAAUUACAAAACAGAGUUCUCCAAAACAGAGUACUCUAAUAUAUAUAGAAUUACAACCAUAUGUGAAAGGAAAUAAUAAUGGUAAAUAAUCUCAUGAUUUCGACAAUAUCAUAUCAAAUCAAGCAUGAGUUUUUUGCAUAAUUAAUUGGGAUUUGCUGGAAAAAGAGAGACUUUAGGCUAUAAUUCAUACUUUCCUUCCCGACAACAUUCUAUGAUAAUUCUAAGAAAAGGGUUGCCAAGAAAGGAAGUGGAAUUGAAGACUGAAAAUUAUCUGGUUUGGUUUAUUGAACCAGAGAAAUUGUUGCGGGAGAAGUUGUAUAUAUAUAUAUAUAUAUAUAUAACUAGUAAAGGAUUUACUGUUGUUAUAGUAAUGGUGAAAAAAUUAAUUAUUAUCAGUGAUUUGCGAACUAAUGAGGCAGAGCUGUGCAAAUAGAGAAGGAGUAGAAUAAUAAGAACAUGAGAGAGGAUGUGCUGAUGGUUGAGAAAGAAAGGUGUAGAGAGAGAAACAAUAGAAAAAUUGAAGAAAUGACAUCUUUUAUAAAUUUGGAGACAUAGAGAGGGCUACGAAUUUGAUGUUUCUUGCAUUACUGCUUCACCUCUGGGUGUGCUACAAUAGGUUUGUUUUCAGUUAUUUUUCUUUCUCUCUCUACUCUCUCAUUGUGCUCCCAUUUGGCUACUCUGUAAUUGUAACAACCCCAACCCAUGAUUAACUGUUAAGCCAUGAUUAAGUAUUCCUAAUAAGUAAAUAAGAUAAAAUCCUGGUUAAUUACAUAUGCAUUGCAUUAUUAGUUUUUCUAUCUGUCUCCCGUAGAAAUAUAUGUUUGUGUCUCUAUUUCGAUCUACGAAUUAAAGGCCUUCUCAGCAUCCAAAAAUGAAAUUGAUUUGGUAUUUAUGUUAUGUGAAAUUUUUAGAAUUUUAUGGUAAGUUUAAUUGAAAUUCAAUUCGGAACGAAUUAAUUAGAAUUAAAUAAUGCUCAUUUGAUUAAUGGUAAGCCUAAUUAAUUAAACUCCCUAAUCAAGCCUAUAUAAGGCUAUUACAUUCCUUUGAGUCAUCCUCUCUUCAUCAUUUUGAGCCUACACAUGUGAGAAAAAGAGAGAGAGAAAGGAGGAAUUGAAUUCAACUAGGAGAUUUGCUAGGGAAUUAAGGGAAUUGGCUUGGAAGUUUAAAGAAAUAGCAAGCUAGAGCCUAAAUCAAGAGUGACGUAAGGAUUUAAGCCUUUACUUGUGUAAUUGAGAUGUAUUACAUGAAUUCAAGAGAACUUAGAACAAGAAUUGAGCUAGGAAAGGAGAAUUAGGAAGAAUACCAUACAUGCAUGCAAAUUCUCUUGCAUUUAGAGUUGGAGUUUGAAGAAUUUUCACAUGCAUGUCCAUAUAUUGGUUUUAUUCAAGGAAUUCAACAUGUUUUUGGUCUAACCAUCUCAUUUGCUCAUGAUUUGGAGACUUGGAGCUCAAAUCAUUUCAUGCAUAUCAUGUCUAUAUUAUGUUUUCCCAUUUCAAGCUUGAGUUGUAUAAUUGACAUGUUUAUGGGCCUUGAUUUCAUAAAAUGAUCUUUAAUUCUCUAUGAUUUCCAGGUUUAGACUUGUUUUUCUCAAGUUUUUGGCCCAAAUGAUGUGUUUUGAAAGGUUAAAGAUGAGUUUUGAAGCUUUGAGGUGAAUCUGAAAAUUUCAGAAUUCGGCCUCACCGCUCAAGCGACAGAUCCUGCGCUCGGGUGACCACUUUGUGUUUUGCACCCCCACUCGAGCGACAAAUAGUUAGCUCGAGCAUAAAAUGCAUGCUCCCAAAAGUUUUCUAUUUUUGCAGACCGCUCGAGCGACAAGAGUUGCGCUCGAGCAAGGACCUGAGUCUCACGCUCGAGUGAGCGUCAAGCGGAGAAACAAAGCAACUAGUACUUUUGCAGAGUUUACAGACAGCUCGAGUAACCGAAGUUACGCUCAAGCGACCUCUCAUAUUUUUGCAUGUCCGCUCGAGCGAAAGAAGUUGCACUUGAGCGAGACCCCCGUUUUUAGCAAGUUUUGUUAAGUAUUUUCAAGAAUAAUUUGGCAUUCUCAUUGCAUCCUAGACACUCCUAGACCAAGAUUAAGACAUAAUAAUGAGAAUAAGAAGUAGAAACACACCAAGAUAAGAAUGAACUAAAUUAAUGAUUCUAGACGUGUAAUUCAAUACGUAUUCGUUCUAUCACUAUGUAGGUCAUGCUCCACAAGAUAUCUGAUUUGCCUAUUCUGUCUGUCUGCUUUCGGAACCAUCUGUAAGUAAUAACUUAGUAAAGUUAUGUUCAACUUUAUUUAUUUUUUAUAUAUGGAAUAAGAUCUAUUUUAUGAAAUGUUAUGCUCUGUACAAUGAAUGAUUGUCCAAUUUCUGACAAGUAUUCGUGGCAAUAAUUCCUUGGCUCAAGUAAGUUAUAUGUUUCCGGUCCGAAGGUUCCUUUAUGGAACUAACAAGUUAUCCGUAUUCGGCUGGAAGUUCCUUUAUAGAACUAGCAAGCUAUAUGUUCCCGGUCCGGAGGUUCCUUUAUGGAACUGACAAGUUAUCUAUACUCGGUCGGAGGUUCCUAUAUGGAACUGACAAGUAUGACUCUUGAUGCUCUGUAUGCGAUUUGUUAGUGCUAAUGGAUGUACUAUGUAAGCUUAAGCAUGAACUCUGAUUUCUGUUUUGUGACUCGAACAAGAAUGUGUAUAUGAAUCUGUUUUUGUUUACUGAAUUAGUUAUGAGACAUCAUUCCUUUAACCUUUUACUCUGUUAUUUGUACGUAGGUACGCAAGCGUGUGACCAAGCUUAAACUGUUGUUAUGCUCUUUCCUCUUCUCAAAUACACGACUGUUUGAAGUGAAAUGAUAAGCAAGGUUAUAUAUAUACAAGGGCAAAUUAGUCUUUUUAUAUUUGUUGUUAAUGAUGUUAACUGUACACUUCAAUCCAUUAACCACAGGAGGGUUAUGUGGUGUUAUUCAAAUGUCAUAGGGGGGUAAUCUGCACUUUGUCCAAACCAUAGGAAGUAAAGUGAAACUUGUCUU